UCGUAUUACAUGUUUUGUUCGUGAAUCUAAUUCAACAGGCUUAUGUUUGAGAUUUUUUUUAACAAAUCCCAAUUUUGCUGUUGGAUUAGAUUCACGCACAAACUCGUAAUCUGUCU